CUACGGGUGGCAGCAGUUAGGGAACUUUUACAAUGCACGCAAGUGUGAUAAAGCGAGUCAGAGUGUUUCUCUUAUUUGAGAAACUUUUUUCUGUUGUAAAAAGACAGACGAAUAAGGACUGGGUAAGACCGGUGCCAGCCGCCGCGGUAAUACCGGCGGUCCAAGUCGCAGCCACAAUUAUUGGGUCUAAAACAUCCGUAGCUUGUUUAGUAAGUUUUUUGUGAAAUCUUAUCUCUUAAGGGUAAGGCGUGCAGAAAGUACUGCUAAACUAGAGACUGGAAGAAGUAAGAAGUACAAUUGAGGUAGUGGUAAAAUACGUUAAUCUUAAUUGGACUAACAAUUAGCGAAGGCAUCUUACUAGUACAGAUCUGACAGUGAGGGAUGAAGGCUAGGGUCGCAAAACGGAUUAGAUACCCCGGUAGUC
rnacentral:rRNA from 1 species